GUGCUCACCUUGGCAGCACAGACACUAAAACUGUAACGAUACAGAGAUUAGCAUGGCCCCUGCACAAGGAUGACACGCAAACUCAUGAAGCAUUCCACAUUUUU
rnacentral:snRNA from 1 species